UAGGGAAUCUUCCACAAUGGACGCAAGUCUGAUGGAGCAACGCCGCGUGAGUGAAGAAGGUUUUCGGAUCGUAAAGCUCUGUUGUUGGUGAAGAAGGAUAGAGGCAGUAACUGGUCCUUAUUUGACGGUAAUCAACAAGAAAGUCACGGCUAACUACGUGCCAGCAGCCGCGGUAAUACGUAGGUGGCAAGCGUUGUCCGGAUUUAUUGGGCGUAAAGCGAGCGCAGGCGGAAUGAUAAGUCUGAUGUGAAAGCCCGCGGCUCGACCGUGGAACGGCAUCGGAAACUGUCAUUCUUGAGUGCAGAAGAGGAGAGUGAGAUUCCAUGUGUAGCGAUAGAAUGCGUAGAUAUAUGGAAGAACGCCAGUGACGAAGGAGGCUCUCUGGUCUGCAACUGACGCUGAGGCUCGAAAGCAUGGGUAGCGAGCAGG
rnacentral:rRNA from 1 species